rfam:Medicago truncatula strain A17 chromosome 4, whole genome shotgun sequence.
UCGGGGUAAAAUAGUGAGGAGCUGACUUGGGGAAGUGAUCGACCCAUGGGAUAAGUUUAAAUUUGUUUUUUUAAACCCCAAAAACUUUUUACCGUGAGUAAAAAGAAUCUUUUUGGGGUAAAAAAAAACAAAUUUAAAUUUAGCCCAAGGGUAGAAGAUGUAUUUUCCCCAAGAAGGCUGCUCACUAUUUUACCCCAA